CUCGCCUGCACGAAGUUGGAAUUGCUAGUAAUCGCGGAUCAGCAUGCCGCGGUGAAUACGUUCCCGGGUCUUGUACACACCGCCCGUCACACCAUGGGAGCUGGUAACACCCGAAGUCAGUAGUCUAACCGCAAGGAGGACGCUGCCGAAGGUGGGAUUAGCGACUGGGGUGAAGUCGUAACAAGGUACC
rnacentral:rRNA from 1 species